AACGAACGCUGGCGGCAUGCCUAACACAUGCAAGUCGAACGAGACCUUCGGGUCUAGUGGCGCACGGGUGCGUAACGCCUGGUAACCUGCCCUUAGGUUCGGAAUAACUCCCCGAAAGGGGUGCUAAUACCGGAUAAUGUCUUCGGACCAAAGAUUUAUCGCCUUUGGAUGGGCCCUCGUUGGAUUAGCUAGUUGGUAGGGUAAAAGCCUACCAAGGCGACGAUCCAUAGCUGGUCUGAGAGGAUGCUCAGCCACACUGGGACUGAGACACGGCCCAGACUCCUACGGGAGGCAGCAGUGGGGAAUAUUGGACAAUGGGCGAAAGCCUGAUCCAGCAAUGCCGCGUGAGUGAUGAAGGCCUUAGGGUUGUAAAGCUCUUUUACCCGGGAUGAUAAUGACAGUACCGGGAGAAUAAGCUCCGGCUAACUCCGUG
rnacentral:rRNA from 1 species